GAUGAAGAACGUAGCGAAAUGCGAUAAGUAAUGUGAAUUGCAGAAUUCAGUGAAUCAUCGAAUCUUUGAACGCACAUUGCGCCCGUCAGUAUUCUGGCGGGCAUGCCUGUUCGAGCGUCAUUACGCCCCUCAAGUCCCCUGUGGACUUGGUGUUGGGGAUCGGCGAGGCUGGUUUUCCAGCACAGCCGUCCCUUAAAUUAAUUGGCGGUCUCGCCGUGGCCCUCCACUGCGCAGUAGUAAAACACUCGCAACAGGAGCCCGGCGCGGUCCACUGCCGUAAAACCCCCCAACUUUUUAUAGUUGACCUCGAAUCAGGUAGGACUACCCGCUGAACUUAAGCAUAUCAAUAAGCGGAGGA
rnacentral:misc_RNA from 1 species